GGGAACUGAAACAUCUAAGAACACAGAGGAAAAGAAAUCAACCGAGAUUCCCCCAGUAGCGGCGAGAGAACGGGGAGCAGCCCAGAGUCUGAAUCAGCUUGUGUGUUAGUGGAACGGUAUGGAAAGUCCGACGGUACAGGGUGAUAGUCCCGUACACCAAAAUGCACAGGCUGUGAACUCGAAGAGUAGGGCUGGACACGUGGUAUCCUGUCUGAAUAUUGGGGGACCA
rnacentral:rRNA from 1 species